rnacentral:rRNA from 1 species
GUGAGGAAUUUUCCGCAAUGGGCGAAAGCCUGACGGAGCAAUGCCGCGUGAAGGAUGAAGGCCUAUGGGUUGUAAACUUCUUUUCUCAGAAAAGAAUUAUGACGGUAUCUGAGGAAUAAGCAUCGGCUAACUCUGUGCCAGCAGCCGCGGUAAGACAGAGGAUGCAAGCGUUAUCCGGAAUGAUUGGGCGUAAAGCGUCUGUAGGUUGUUUAAAAAGUAUUCUGUCAAAGAUUAGGGCUUAACCCUAGAUAGGCAGAAUAAACUUUUAAGCUAGAGUUUGGUAGAGGCAGAGGGAAUGCCCGGUGGAGCGGUGAAAUGCGUAGAUAUCGGGAGGAACACCAAAGGCGAAGGCACUCUGCUGGGCCAAUACUAACACUGAGAGACGAAAGCGAGGGGAGCAAAUGGGAUUAGAUACCCUAGUAGUCC